rnacentral:rRNA from 1 species
GAUCCUGGCUCAGGAUGAACGCUAGCUACAGGCUUAACACAUGCAAGUCGAGGGGAAACGACAUCGAAAGCUUGCUUUUGAUGGGCGUCGACCGGCGCACGGGUGAGUAACACGUAUGCAAUCCACCUGUAACAGGGGGAUAACCCGGAGAAAUCCGGACUAAUACCCCAUAAUAUGGGCGCUCCGCAUGGAGAGCCCAUUAAAGAGAGCAAUUUUGGUUACAGACGAGCAUGCGCU